AAAGUCAAGGCUAGAGAAUCCCAAAGGAUCUCCUCUAGCCACCUUCCAUCUCACACUUACCAUUCUCUCAUUUUCCACCAUCAGUUUCUCACUCCUCCACGUGAACACUUUGCCACCACUCCGCGUCAGACUCGUGGCUUAUUCACGCCACAACAGCACAUGCCUCAGAACAUCAUUUCUCUUUGCGCCAUUCCUUCCUCAGACCAUUGCUCUCGAAGCCGCCUCUCAUCAUUUAGGGUUUUCCACUCGAGAGCCUUCCUUCCACGACUCACUUCCUCUGUAAGUCACUUUUCACCGAACACUUCUCCGAUCCAUCUUCUCCUCACCAUAUUCAUCUUUGACCGAUUGAUUUCGCCUUAUCCUUCAUUUUCUCCGUUUAAAGUUGAGAUCUCUUCUAUUCCGCCGAUUCAAUCGGUGAAAUCUCCCUUUUCUCCGUUUAAACCCUCUCAAAAGCUUAACCCUAGCUUUUCUACUGAACAAACCACCAA
rnacentral:lncRNA from 1 species